AUUGAACGCUGGCGGCAGGCCUAACACAUGCAAGUCGAACGAGUGGCGGACGGGUGAGUAAUGUCUGGUAAACUGCCCGUUGGAGGGGGAUAACUACUGGGAACGGUAUCUAAUACCGCGUCCCAUCGUAUGUGCCCAGAGGGGAUUAGCUUGUAGGUGAGGUAACGGCUCACCUAGGCGCCGAUCCCUAGCUGGUCUGCGAGGAUGACCAGCGUCACUGGGACGGAGACACGGGCCAGACUCCUAGGGGAGGCAGAAGUGGGGAAUAUUGCACAAUGGGGGAAAGGCUGAGAGAGCCAGGCCGCGUGGAUGAAGAAGGCCUGCGGGUGGUAAAGUACUUGCAGCGGGGAGGCGGUACCCGCAGAGGAAGCACCGGCUAACUCCGGGCCAGCAGCCGCGGUAAUUC
rnacentral:rRNA from 1 species